AGUCUCAUAUAUUUUUAGGCGGUAAAAAUCUAAUUAGGUGCACUAUAUAUAUAUUGAACAGCAUACCAGUCUAUGGUCAGUUAACUGGAAGCGGAGCCACCAGUGUUCGUCCGGUCCAUCCCUAGCCAGUGAGAGUUCCAAACAUGAAGGUUUUCACUAUGCAAUGUUUGGUGCUGGUGCUCCUUGUCAUGACCGUGACUACGGUCUUAUCUGCAGGACAUGGCGGCCAUGGGGGUGGUGGUGGUGGCGGUCAUGGAGGUGGACACGGUGGCGGCGGACACGGAGGCGGCGGUCAUGGAGGUGGCGGUCAUGGGGGCGGACCUAUCAUUCAACCCGACUCAGAAGAUGACGAAGACUAGUUACACUGUGCCAAGAAAGUCGAAUAUAUAUAUUAUAUAUAAGGCAAUAGGAUAGACGCUUCUUUGUUGCUCGGUAUAUCUUAUAUAUUACAUGUGUUACUUUUGUAUUUGUGUUCAGUAUAUGUUACAUAUCCCAUAUGUUAGUUUUGUAUUUUUUGUUCAGUCUUUGUUACAUAUUUCAUGUUUCAGUUUUGUUUGAUGUGUAUCAAAUGUUAUUCUGAAUAUAAACGUGUUUGAAAAACAUUUCUUAUUAAAACAAAUAAUUUUGUCUAA